rnacentral:sRNA from 1 species
GUUGGGUCGCGUGAAGGAUGGGAGUGAUAUCCUUUUGUGCCAUGGUUUGGCACAAAAGAUAUGGUGGACAGCCUGACCCGCU